rnacentral:rRNA from 1 species
AGUGAACGCUGGCGGUAGGCCUAACACAUGCAAGUCGAACGGCAGCACAGUAAGAGCUUGCUCUUACGGGUGGCGAGUGGCGGACGGGUGAGGAAUACAUCGGAAUCUACUUUUUCGUGGGGGAUAACGUAGGGAAACUUACGCUAAUACCGCAUACGACCUACGGGGGAAAGCAGGGGCUCUUCGGACCUUGCGCGAUUGAAUGAGCCGAUGUCGGAUUAGCUAGUUGGCGGGGUAAAGGCCCACCAAGGCGACGAUCCGUAGCUGGUCUGAGAGGAUGAUCAGCCACACUGGAACUGAGACACGGUCCAGACUCCUACGGGAGGCAGCAGUGGGGAAUAUUGGACAAUGGGCGCAAGCCUGAUCCAGCCAUACCGCGUGGGUGAAGAAGGCCUUCGGGUUGUAAAGCCCUUUUGUUGGGAAAGAAAAGCAGCAGGUUAAUACCCCGCUGUUCUGACGGUACCCAAAGAAUAAGCACCGGCUAACUUCGUG